CCCUUAGAUGUUCUGGGCUGCACGCGCGCUACACUGAUGCAUUCAACGAGCCUAUCCUUGACCGACAGGUCCGGGUAAUCUUUGAAUCUGCAUCGUGACGGGGAUAGAUUAUUGCAAUUAUUAAUCUUCAACGAGGAAUGCCUAGUAGGCGCAAGUCAUCAGCUUGCGUCGAUUACGUCCCUGCCCUUUGUACACACCGCCCGUCGCUCCUACCGAUUGGGUGUGCUGGUGAAAUGUUCGGAUCGGCCGUUUGUCGCGGUUUCCGCGUCAUGUGGCUGAGAAGUUCAUUAAACCCUCCCACCUAGAGGAAGGAGAAGUCGUAACA
rnacentral:rRNA from 1 species